rnacentral:rRNA from 1 species
UACAGAGGUGGCAAGCGUUGUUCGGAAUUACUGGGCGUAAAGCGUGCGCAGGCGGCGCGUUAAGACAGGUGUGAAAGCCCCGAGCUUAACUUGGGAAUUGCGCUUGUGACUGGCGUGCUGGAGUGUGGCAGAGGGAGGUGGAAUUCCCGGUGUAGCAGUGAAAUGCGUAGAGAUCGGGAGGAACAUCUGUGGCGAAGGCGACUGCCUGGACCAGCACUGACACUGAGGCACGAAAGCGUGGGGAGCAAACGGG